GACGAACGCUGGCGGCGUGCCUAAUACAUGCAAGUCGAACGCUGAAGGAGGAGCUUGCUUCUCUGGAUGAGUUGCGAACGGGUGAGUAACGCGUAGGUAACCUGCCUGGUAGCGGGGGAUAACUAUUGGAAACGAUAGCUAAUACCGCAUAAGAGUAGAUGUCGCAUGACAUUUGCUUAAAAGUUGCAAUUGCAUCACUACCAGAUGGACCUGCGUUGUAUUAGCUAGUUGGUGAGGUAACGGCUCACCAAGGCAACGAUACAGAGCCGGCCUGAGAGGGUGAUCGGCCCAACUGGGAACGGGACACGGCCCAAGAUCCUACCGGAGGGCGCAGGAGGGGAUCUUCGGAAAUGGACGGAAGUCUGACCGAGCAACGCCGGGUGAGUGAAGAAGGUUUUCGGGUCGUAAAGCUCUGUUGUAAGGGAAGGAAGAGUGUGAGAGUGGAAAGUUCACGCUGUGACGGUAUCUAACCAGAAAGGGACGGCUAACUACGUG
rnacentral:rRNA from 1 species